AGUAAAAGCGAUUGGAAUCCUCAAAAACCUUACAAUUGCGAAGCUUCAAAUUCUGCCGGCAAAAAAGCAUCCCCUGUUGCUCCAGGUCCAAGAAAACCCACCCUGAGUUUGGUUCCUGUCACAACCCUAAAAAGUAAAUCUUUCAUGUGUGCUGUUGAAGAUUUCUACCCCCAAAACGACCUCUCGGUACAAUGGAAGAUAAAUGAUACAAAUUCCUUGAGUCCGCUAAAACUGGAGAGUAAAUCGAAUGAGCAAGGUUUUUAUAAUGGAUACAGUUUUUAUGAAGUCAGCAGUGAGAAUUUGGAUGUGAAUACUCAGUAUACCUGUGAGGUCACACACCAGGGAAAACAGUUUAACAGAUCAGCAUACUUCAAAGCUAAAUUUUCACUGACAAUGAAGCCACCAAUUCAGAAAGAACUAUUUGUUAAUGAUAAAAUUGUCUUGCAAGCUGUUGUUUCUGGAGAUGUAAAAAAAACAGUGCAAGAUACUUCAGUAUCAUGUAAAGUGAAGGAUGAGCUUGUGCCCAAUGGGAAUAUCACAACAGGGGAUGUUCAAUUAUCUCCUGAAACUUCACAAUUUAACAGAAUUCACGAUGUCAUCAUUAAUACAAAUAAAUGGUUUGAUGGUGAAGUGGUCACCUGCACCAUCCAUGACACAAAUAAUAACAGAGUCAUCGAGCAGAAGAUCAGUUUUCAAAAAGAUGGAAAAAAGCCCACUGUUACCAUUUACAAACCUGAUAACGUCAAAGAUCCGCUCUCUCAUGUGUGUGAGGUCACCAGCCCUAAACUCGGUGAUGUCUAUGUAAUGUGGAAAGUGGGUGAUGGUUCUUACAGAGAGGGCACAACUAGUGCUCCCAUCCAUCAAAAGGACUCAACGUCUGUUCUCAGCAUCCUAACAAUGACAAAAGAAGAGUAUAGCAAUGUCAUCACCUGCGCAGUCAUUCAUGCCAACAUGGACAAUAGAAGUUCUCCAUUACAAGUGUCAACAAGCAAAAGUGAGACACCUGAGCCAGACACAGGCUUUGCUCUGGACUGCAAUAAAGAUGUUCUUGAGGAGGAUGAGUUCAGAAGUCUCUGGUCCACUGCCACCUCAUUCAUCUUCCUCUUCCUCUUCUCUCUGACCUACAGCGCUGUGCUCAGCUUCUUCAAGGUGAAGCAGUGAUGAUUUGUU